CAGCAGCCGCGGUAAUACCGGCGGCCCGAGUGGCGGUCACUAUUAUUGGGCUUAAAACGUCCGUAGCCGGGUUGGGAAGUCCUCCGGGAAAUCUGGCCGCUUAACGGUCAGAAUGCCGGAGGAUACUCCCAGCCUAGGGAGCGGGAGAGGCCGAGGGGAUUCCCGGGGUAGGGGGGAAAUCCUAUAAUCCCAGGAGGACCACCAGGGGCGAAGGCGCCCGGCUGGGACGCGCCCGACGGGGAGGGGCGAAAGCCGGGGGAGCGAACCGGAUUAGAUACCCGGGUAGUCCCGGCUGUAAACGAUGCGGGCUAGCUGUUGGGUGGGCUUAGAGCCCACCCAGUGGCGCAGGGAAGCCGUUAAGCCCGCCGCCUGGGGAGUACGGCCGCAAGGCUGAAACUUAAAGGAAUUGGCGGG
rnacentral:rRNA from 1 species